UACGUAGGCAGCGAGCGUUGUUCGGAGUUACUGGGCGUAAAGGGCGCGUAGGCGGCCUGAUAAGUAGGGGGUGAAAUCUUGCGGCUUAACCGCAAGGCUGCCUUCUAAACUGUCGGGCUAGAGCACAGUAGAGGCAGGUGGAAUUCCCGGUGUAGCGGUGGAAUGCGUAGAGAUGUGGAGGAAUACCGAUGGCGAAGGCAGCCCCCUGGGCCAAUACUGACGCUCAUGCACGAAAGCGUGGGGAGCAAACAGG
rnacentral:rRNA from 1 species